CCGGCGAGUUACGAUUUGAUGCAAGGUUAAGCAGUAAAUGUGGAGCCGUAGCGAAAGCGAGUCUGAAUAGGGCGUUUAGUAUUUGGUCGUAGACCCGAAACCAGGUGAUCUACCCUUGGUCAGGUUGAAGUUCAGGUAACACUGAAUGGAGGACCGAACCGACUUACGUUGAAAAGUGAGCGGAUGAACUGAGGGUAGCGGAGAAAUUCCAAUCGAACCUGGAGAUAGCUGGUUCUCUCCGAAAUAGCUUUAGGGCUAGCCUCAAGUGAUGAUUAUUGGAGGUAGAGCACUGUUUGGACGAGGGGCCCCUCUCGGGUUACCGAAUUCAGACAAACUCCGAAUGCCAAUUAAUUUAACUUGGGAGUCAGAACAUGGGUGAUAAGGUCCGUGUUCGAAAGGGAAACAGCCCAGACCACCAGCUAAGGUCCCAAAAUAUAUGUUAAGUGGAAAAGGAUGUGGCGUUGCCCAGACAACUAGGAUGUUGGCUUAGAAGCAGCCAUCAUUUAAAGAGUGCGUAAUAGCUCACUAGUCGAGUGACACUGCGCCGAAAAUGUACCGGGGCUAAACAUAUUACCGAAGCUGUGGAUUGUCCUUUGGACAAUGGUAGGAGAGCGUUCUAAGGGCGUUGAAGCAUGAUCGUAAGGACAUGUGGAGCGCUUAGAAGUGAGAAUGCCGGUGUGAGUAGC
rnacentral:rRNA from 1 species